rnacentral:tRNA from 1 species
CCCUUGGUGGUCCAAUGGUUAGGAUUCUGUGCUCCCAAAGCAGGGGCCCUGGGUUUGAUCCCUGGUGAGGGA